GUCAUAGUUCAAUGGUAGAGCACAUGCUUUGCAUGCAGAAGGUCUUGGGUUCAAUCCCUGGCAUCUAUU